rnacentral:rRNA from 1 species
AUUGAACGCUGGCGGCAUGCUUUACACAUGCAAGUCGAACGGUAACAGGCCGCAAGGUGCUGACGAGUGGCGAACGGGUGAGUAAUGCAUCGGAACGUGCCCAGUCGUGGGGGAUAACUGCUCGAAAGAGCAGCUAAUACCGCAUACGAUCUAUGGAUGAAAGCGGGGGACCGUAAGGCCUCGCGCGAUUGGAGCGGCCGAUGUCAGAUUAGGUAGUUGGUGGGGUAAAGGCUCACCAAGCCAACGAUCUGUAGCGGGUCUGAGAGGACGACCAGCCACACUGGGACUGAGGCACGGCCCAGACUCCUACGGGAGGCAGCAGUGGGGAAUUUUGGACAAUGGGGGCAACCCUGAUCCAGCAAUGCCGCGUGCAGGAAGAAGGCCUUCGGGUUGUAAACUGCUUUUGUACGGAACGAAACGGUCUGGGUUAAUACCCUGGGCUAAUGACGGUACCGUAAGAAUAAGCACCGGCUAACUACGUGCCAGCCGCCGCAGUAAUAC